GACGGAGGAUGCAAGCGUUAUCCGGAAUGAUUGGGCGUAAAGCGUCCGCAGGUGGCAGUUCAAGUCUGCUGUCAAAGACCGGGGCUUAACUUCGGAAAGGCAGUGGAAACUGAACAGCUAGAGUAUGGUAGGGGCAGAGGGAAUUCCUGGUGUAGCGGUGAAAUGCGUAGAGAUCGGCAGGAACACCCAGGGGGAAACCAGUCGACUGGGCAUCUACUGACGCUGAGGUGCGAGAGCGUGGGGAGCGAACCGG
rnacentral:rRNA from 1 species